rnacentral:tRNA from 1 species
GCGCCUGUAGCUCAGCGGAUAGAGCGUCUGCCUCCGGAGCAGAAGGUCGCAGGUUCGAGUCCUACCAGGCGCG